rnacentral:siRNA from 1 species
CUUGAAACGCCUGAUCCGUUUGAU